UUAGGGUGUCAUUGUCAUGCCACAUAGGCCUAUUGACUUGCAGAUGAUCUGUGUCUCAGCUGGGAAUCAAGAUCACCGCUCCCAGGCAGGGAGGAACGUGCACAGGCCCCUGUGGUUCAGCUGUUUUGUCUGUGUGUGUCAGAGCCUGGAGCCACACCACAAACAGAUCCCUUCUGUUGUCUCCAGGUGUAGGAGGGGAACCAGCCCUACAGAGCACAGUUGUAUAAAGAGCAAUACUGGGGGAACAUCCCUGCUAGUGAGGCAGAGAUGGUGAUGCAAAUAGUCUGGUACGUGUCCAUCUGUUUCAUGGCAGCAAGAUGCUCAGGUGCUCAGAUCAACCAAACCCAGAGUCUGGACCUGGAAAAGGGACACCAAGCCCAGCUCAUAUGUAAACAAACCUAUGGGCAUAACAACAUGUUCUGGUACAGGCAGGUCUCAGGACAGGGCUUGCAGCUGCUCUUCCUCUUUGUUCAUGAAGAACUAACAGACAAAGGCAAUGUCACUGAUCAAUUCCAAGCUAAAAAGCUGCAGACUGAGCUCCUUCACUUGGACAUUUCACCCGUGAAGCCAGAGGACUCGGCUGUGUAUUUCUGUGCCAGCAGUCUAGACACAGUGCUUCAGAGUCACCUCCUUCCCCUGCAAAAGCCUCCUCUCCUUGGAGGGGCUUCCCCCUGCAUCUCUACCCACAACCAGUGCAAUAAGAGGGAGGAGAAGAGGAGGAAGUCACAAUCUAUGUCAACACUAUAUGGGUACCUACAGGAAUGA